rnacentral:rRNA from 1 species
UACAGAGGGUGCGAGCGUUGUCCGGAAUUACUGGGCGUAAAGGGCGCGUAGGCGGCCUGAUAAGUCGGGGGUGAAAGUCAGCGGCUCAACCGCUGGACUGCCUUCGAGACUGUCGGGCUUGAGCAUGGUAGAGGCUGGCGGAAUUCCCGGUGUAGCGGUGGAAUGCGUAGAGAUCGGGAAGAACAUCGGUGGCGAAGGCGGCCAGCUGGGCCAUUGCUGACGCUGAGGCGCGACAGCGGUGGGGAGCAAACAGG